AGUGCUUGAUGGCUGGAAAUAAUGAAGCGCCUUUCUCAUGGGUUGUAUGAGGGCAUGCUGGUGCCCACUGCGGAAGAUGAAGGCAGAUAGUGUCUAUAGAGUGAAGAGCUCUGGGCUCCCUUAGGAGUCCGCAUUCUGAAUUGCUGCCUGGUGAAAUUUAUUGGAGUCUUCACAGUUCAAUCUCUGAGAUCCUUCUCCUGUGGACCGUAAUUUAGACUCUCAUGCUGGAGUGGAAAAAAAAUCUGAAGGAAAUAAGAAAAAUGUCCACAUUUUUCAGAGACAGUGGGAUAGCUCACUCAGGAUGAUCCUUUCCAGUUCCCACCAUUUGCCUGCAAAAUUUCAUGAAAGAGGCUCAAGUACACAAUAAGGACAUUUGCUCAACCAUGUUUGUAGCAGCUUUAUUUGUAAUAGCCAGAAGCUGGAAACAACCCAGAUGUCCUUCAACUGAAGAAUGGAUACAGAAAUUGUGGUACAUCUAUAAAAUGGAAUAUUACUCAGCAAUGAAAAAUAAGGAAAUCAAGAAAUUUGCAGUAAAAGAAGUCGAGUAUGCCUGUCAGCACCUGGGAGCCUGAGGCCGGAGAAUUGCCACAAGGUGAAGCACAGCCUGAGGAAGAAAGCGGUGUGCAGCAGGAGAUGCAGUACCAUUUCCCCACCACUCAGAAAAGCUGGCAAGCAUAAAAUGAGCAUCUGUAUCCUUCACAAAUCAAACACUGCUGCAUUCUCCCAUGAUUAAUCAGAAUAAAUUGAAGAGCAUGGGACUCUAAAUGUGAUGAGAUCAACAAUCUCUCAUAUAAGAUAUCCGAAAUAAGAAUCCUUCACUCCACUAUAUUAGAAUGUCCAGAAAGACCUUGAUCUUCUUGAAGUUCAGAAUCUCACCUAUAACCAAGAUUUAAGCCUGGAUCUUCUAGCUCUUGUCCAGUCAGUGGCACUGCCCAAGCAUAGUGUCCUAAGUUGUAGGUUCUUCAUGUGUCUCCUUGCUUUCUGAUUCUGAUCGCUCCUCAGCCUCACUAGGAUUUGCCCUGAUCCUCAUUCAGGGUGCAGUGAACUUUGAUGUUAGAACUGCACCCUUGGAAUGUGUCUUUCCAAAGUGAAUUUAUUGUUCCCCUUCACUUGCCAUUUUCUACAUCUUCCACUUAGUGUCUGAAGUUUUGUCUAUCAUGUCCACUUCAGAGUCCACUUCUCCUUUCCAAUGUCUGCUACUUCUCUGCUGCUGACUUGGAAAUCAUUGACCCCUUCCAUGGGAUCCCAGCAUCCAUGCAUAUUAGUAGCAUACUACUAUUUCCAGAACAGAAUCAGAGGCAGUGUAAUAUGGAUCAAGACUCAGAUGUUGGUAUAAGGACAUGAAAAGAAAGAGUGGACACAGACAUUAGGAUUGGUCUUCUUCUACUCUUAAAAAAGCUAGUGCUUUUUACGAAGCAACCCGUAAAAGACUUUGUAUUAUCUAUUUAUCUAUCUUUAUUAUCACCAUCAUUAUCUAUUUAUAUCUGUUUAUGUAUGUAUCUACAUUUCUAUGUAUCUAAUCAAUCUAAUGUACACAUGAGUAUAUGCCUGAUUAAGUUUACUUGUACUACAUAUGUUCAAUUGCCCUUAGAGAGCAGAAUGUGUGUCAUAUUGCCUAGAAAUGGAAUUAGAGGUUCUUGUUAACCACCUGGUGUGGGUGCUGGGAACUGAACCCAUGUCCUCUACAAUAGCAAUAAGUACUCUUCUUAACUGUUGCUGAUAAUUGUAACAAAGCAUACACUCCCUCAAAAACAUCAACAACAAAACCAAAACAAGAUCAUUCUCUGACAAUUGCAGCAGAAAAAAAAUCUUUAAUAAUUGAAAAAAUUACUCAUAACUAUAAUUCUAGCAUUAGGCUAAAACAGUAGGAUUCACAUGAGUUCAAGUCCAACUUGGACUACAGAGGGAGACCCUAUCCUUGAAAGAAAGAAAAAGAAAGAGAGGGGGAAGUAGUAGAAAGGGAGAAGAGAAAGAAGAGUUUAAUGGAUGGAAGGGAUCAAGGGGUGGGGCCUAGAAAGAGAAAGCUAUUAAGAUCAACUCUGCCUUGUCCUCAAGUUACUCCAUAGAGUGUAGAAUAGUAGUUUCUCAGACUUCUUGCUCUUACAGACUCCAUUUUACAAGCAGCUUUUGACUAUUAUGAGAAUGGAGAGGGACUGUGCUUAGGCUGGACAUGUAAAUUUCACCAUCUGUCAACGUAUGAAGUCACGGAGGUAAAUUGGGACCAUAAGGAUACAUGAACAUUUUAAAAUCCUAUCAGAGAAACCAGGCACAAAGCCUUAUUGGAACCAACAGAUGGAGGAAAGGCUGUAACUUUGUCUUUGUUUGCUUUUUGUUGCAAUGAUAAACACCAUGACCCAAAGCAAUGUGGAAAGGUAAGGUUUGUUUGGCUUACACAUCUCAGUCACAGUCUAUAAAUGGGGGAGGUCAGGACAGGAACUCAAACAAGAACCCCCAGAGGAAUCCUCCUUAUUGACUUGAUCUCCACAGUUUGCUCGUCUUGUUUCCUUAUACAAACUAGGACCACCUACUCAGGGAUGGCAUUACCCAGAGUGGGCUGGGAUGUCCCAGUUCAAUCAUUGAUCAAGAAAAUGCACCACAGACAUACCCACAGUCCAGUCUAAUCGAGAUAAGUCUUGAAUUGACACACUUUGUUCCCAGGUGACUCUGGUCUGUAUCAAGUUGGCUAAAGAUAACGAGCACAGAUGUCUUCUAGAACACACAGAGAGGCAGAAACUCAUACUAUAAUAGUGACAGCCCCCACUGACUUUUCAUCCGAUCACUCUAGGCAUGUAUCAAGGACCAACAGGCAGAAAACCCCUUCAUUUCCCAUAGCCUUCAGCUCAGCCUGAGCUUCACUCUUAAUGCGUCCUAAAUGAAUUGCCAUCUGCCCACUGUCUUACACAUCCAUCAGGACCUGUCGUUUAUUCUUUGCUGAUUUGCUUUUCUGGACCCAGUCAGCGCUACCUUUUCUCCUUUGCAGUUGGACUCCAACCAGCAGCUCUGCUCCAAUCCAUGCUUCAGCAGCAACCGUAGUAGCUUAACUCUGAGGCCAACAGCCACAUCAGAUAUGUCAGUGAUUUCCCACUCAGCUAUUUGUCAUCAAUGCUGAAAACUGUGCAUCCUCAUCAUUUUAAAAGCUUUCACCAUUCAGGCCUCUCUGAAACUUCACUCCUCAAUCUACAUUCAGACCAUGCCAUGCUGUAACAUUCUAGAUAGAUAGAUAGAUAGAGUUAGAUAGAUAGAUGAUAUGUAGCUUAGAUAGCUAAAGAUAGAUGAUACAUAGAUAUAAAUGGAUCAUAGAUAGAUAGAGAUUUAAUGCAUGAUAUGUAAUGUAUGAUGAGAGAGUUAGUAUUAAUAAUUAAGAUUGGAAUAAAAAGAGUUUGUAUUUUCCUGGGCCAGUGUUUUCAAAGAAAGCAAAACUAUUUGGAGAGUUGAACCUUGCUCUAUCUUGAGAAUUCAUUAUUUAAUAAAUUAUGCCAUCGUGAAAAGAUGUAAACAUGGUUGUGAAUGUUUCUUAUAUGGAAAGAUUAUUGCAAAGGACAAAUAAACCUUUACAAAUAUGAAUUUUCUGCCUUGAUUUACAUGCAAGAAAAACAAAGCUCUGAGAAUUUAAAUAAAAAUGUUGAAGACCAUACCUGUAGCCAGUUAAUAGCUGUGGAGAGAGCUCUUAAUUCCUGCUCCAAGGUUGUUUGAGAGAUGACUUCACAAUGCUAAUGAGGGAAAUUUGGUAAGAGAAGCAGAGAUUUCCUUAUUCUAUUAGUGCAAAUAAAUAUGAUCAAUUGAAAUCUUGUCACAUUUCCUUGCUAUCAUUUGUUGUUGGGGAAUCAGGUCAUCACUGUAUAUUGCAUUUAUGCAGCCAAUUUCCCUCACAAAAUCUCUCCUAAAGUGGGAUAUUGAUGCUUUCACAUUUUUUAACCUAUUUAUGGUCUUACGAAGCCUAGGAAGAUGCUUUGUCACUGGGGGACUUAGUGUCAUCAUUUGCAAAAUAAGGACAAUGAAAAGCACCUGUUUUUUAAGAUUGCUAGUGAGGAUGAGAUGUGCUAAUGGAUGUUAAGAGAGCUUAAAGAGAGUCCAGAAUAUAUCAGAUACUAAGGAAGUGUUAGCUGUUUAAUAAUAGCUAAUUAAUAACUAACACAUUUGACUGUUGUUUUGUUAAACCUGACACUUUUGUUGUUGUUAACUCAUUGCCACUGGUGGAGAGAAAGUCCUUCAUCAGUUAGAGGUAAAAUGCUUAAGUAUGUUAAAACAUCAGGAAAUUAACACACUGGUGUGAAUAGGUUUUAGUUAAAGUGAAAAUGAGGGCAUAAAAGCAUGUAGUUUCUAUAGUGGAUAGUUCAGAGGUCACGGUACCUAAAAGAUGAGCAGAAACAUACCUGAAUGACAAAAAUUAACAACACAGGAGUGGAAAGAACAGAGAUAAACUUCAAAGACUCUGACUUUGCUUGAGGCUUCCAAUUAUCAUUGCUGCUGCAGAAAUGAGCCCAGUGGGGUAGCUGGCCCUCUAUCCCUGAUCCUGCUUCAAGAUUCAUGGCCUCCAGUAGGCACCCAGCCCAGCUGUGAACUGUCUGGACAAGAGUCACUAUGAAAAACUGGCAGCAAGAAGCUCAUGGGGCCUAUCCAAGAACUUUGUACUCAUAUACUGCUUGCCUGGAGCUAAAAACUAGACAGGAAAUUACAAGGGUAAGGUCCAAGGUGAGGCAAACACGGCCAUGUUCGACGAGGAAGCAAAGAAGCAGCAGACAUCAGGAUCACAUUGUUCCCAGGCACUUUGCUGAAGGUGUUUAUUGAGACAGAAACUAAAAAGAGAAAUAAUGAAACUAAGAGAUGUCAUGAAUCAAGAGGACCUAAAAGAUAUCCACAGAACAUUUCACCCAAAUAAGAAGAUAUAUACAUUCUGUUCAGCAACUCAUGGAACCUUCUCCAAAACUGACCAUAUAAUCUGUCACAAAGCAAGCCUCAACAGAUGCAAGAAGACUGAAAUAACCCCUUGUACCUUAUCAAACCACCAUGAAUUAAAGCUGGCACUCAACAAUAACUGAAACAGAAGACCUACGAACUCAUGGUAAUUGAACAACUUCCUACUCAAUGACCACUAUGUCAAGGAUGAAAUAAAUAAAUUAAAAACUAUUUAUAAUUCAGUGAAAAUGAAGGCACAACAUACCGAAGCUUAUGGGACACAAUAAAAGCAAUGUUAAGGGGAAAGUUCUUAGCACUAAGUGGCUUCUUUAAAAAAUUGGAGAGUUCUCAUUCUAGCAGUUUAAAAGCACAUCUAAAAAGCUCUAGAACAAAAAGAAGCAAACACACCCAAGAGGAGUAGACUGUAGAAAAAUAAUCAAACUCAGGGAUGAAAUCAAUAACUUAGAAACAAAGAGAACAAUACAAAGAAUCAAAAAACCAAAAGCUGGUUCUCUGAGAAAAUCAACAAGAUAGACAAACCUCCCAGACAAACUAACUAUAAGGCAAAGAGAUAAUAUCCAAACUAACAGAAGCAGAAAUGAAAAGGGGACAUAACAACAGACCUGAGAAAGUCCAAAGAAUCAUUAGGUCUUACUUCUGAAGACUGUAUUCCACAAAAUUGGAAAACCUAAAGGUAAUGGAUGAUUUUCAGGAUAGAUUUUACUUAUCAAAGUUAAAUCAAGAUUACAUAAACAGUUUAAACACUCCUAUAACCCCUAAGGAAAUAGAAGCAGUCAUCAAAAGUAUCCCAACCAAAAAAAAAAAAAAAAAAAAGCCCAGGGCCAGAUGGUUUUAUCACAGAAUUGUACCAGAUUUUCAAAGAAGAGCUAAUACCAGUACCCCUCAAAAUAUUCCACAAAAUAGAAACAGUAGGAACAUUGCCUAAAAGCCACAGUCACCCUGAUACUUAAACCACACAGAUUCAACAAAGAAAAUUUUAGACUAGUCUCCCUCAUGAACAUUGAUGCAAAAAUGCUCAAUAAAAUACUUGCAAACCAAAUUCAAGAACAUAUCAAAUACAUCAUCCACCAUGAUCAAGUAGACUUUAUACCAGGAAAGCAAGGAUAGUUCAAUACAUGAAAAUCCAUCAACAUAAUCCACCAUAUAAACCUGAAAGAAAAUAAAUCACAUGAUCAUCUCAUUGGAUGCUGAAAAAGCCUUCAUGAUAAAAGUCUUGGAGAGAUCAGGGAUAUAAGGCUGAUAGCUAAACAUAGUAAAGACAAUAUACAGCAAGCCAAUAUCUAACAUCAAAUUAAAUGGAGAGAAACUCAAAGCAAUCCUACUAAAUUCAGGGAGAAGACAAGGCUGACCGACCACUCUUGCCAAAUCUCUUCAAUAUAGUACAAGAAGUUCUAGCUAGAGUGAUAAGACAAUUAAAAAAAAAGAUAAAUGAAAUACAAACUGGAAAGAGAGAAGUCAAAGUAUCUCUAUUCACAGAUGAUAUGAUAGUGACCCUCAAUUGCAGGUUUCUGUGUUAAUCACCAUUUAUUGAAAAAAGAAAUUUCCAUACAAGAGUUGAAAGAUACACUAACCUAUGAAGAAGUCAUUAGGAGUAAGCUUAACCCUGUGUCAAUUUAGCAGAAUAAUAAUAAUAAUAAUAAUAAUAAUAAUAAUAAUAGAUUCU